rnacentral:rRNA from 1 species
UACGUAGGGUGCGAGCGUUUGUCCGGAUUUAUUGGGCGUAAAGAGCUCGUAGGCGGUUUGUCGCGUCGGCCGUGAAAUCUCCACGCUUAACGUGGAGCGUGCGGUCGAUACGGGCAGACUUGAGUUCGGUAGGGGAGACUGGAAUUCCUGGUGUAGCGGUGAAAUGCGCAGAUAUCAGGAAGAACACCUAUGGCGAAGGCAGCUCUCUGGGACGGUACUGACGCUGAGACGCGAAAGCGUGGGGAGCGAACAGG